AUUUUGCUUGGACUUCCGAAGAUG
rnacentral:siRNA from 1 species